rnacentral:misc_RNA from 1 species
GGGAAUUAUAUCGCAACUGAAAGUUAGAAAGAACAAAUAUAUAUUUAAAAAAAGGAAAAAAUCAGAUCUCAAAUUUUAGAAAAACCGCUUGUGCCUCUCAUCUCAUUAUCAUAUGCAUAAUUCUCUGGGAAAAAGAUUCAAAAUGAACCUACCCACGGAUUGCAAACUUAAAUAAAUAGUAAUAACUUCGCAGUAUCAUAAUAGGAAUGCCAAUGGGCAACUAGAUUUGCAAAUCAAUGAACUACAUCAUUCAUCCACCUUAUUGCUAGUUAAAGCAUACCAUCUGGGGUAAGUCACUGUUAUCAUGGUAAUCUCUUAUUGCCUCUGAGAGCUCAAGCAU